AUGCAGUCGAGCGGUAGAGAGAAGCUUGCUUCUCUUGAGAGCGGCGGACGGGUGAGUAAUGCCUAGGAAUCUGCCUGGUAGUGGGGGAUAACGUUCGGAAACGGACGCUAAUACCGCAUACGUCCUACGGGAGAAAGCAGGGGACCUUCGGGCCUUGCGCUAUCAGAUGAGCCUAGGUCGGAUUAGCUAGUUGGUGAGGUAAUGGCUCACCAAGGCGACGAUCCGUAACUGGUCUGAGAGGAUGAUCAGUCACACUGGAACUGAGACACGGUCCAGACUCCUACGGGAGGCAGCAGUGGGGAAUAUUGGACAAUGGGCGAAAGCCUGAUCCAGCCAUGCCGCGUGUGUGAAGAAGGUCUUCGGAUUGUAAAGCACUUUAAGUUGGGAGGAAGGGCAGUUACCUAAUACGUGAUUGUUUUGACGUUACCGACAGAAUAAGCACCGGCUAACUCUGUGCCAGCAGCCGCGGUAAUACAGAGGGUGCAAGCGUUAAUCGGAAUUACUGGGCGUAAAGCGCGCGUAGGUGGU
rnacentral:rRNA from 1 species